rnacentral:tRNA from 1 species
GCGAUUGUAGCUUAUAUAAAUAAAGCAUCGGUCUUGUAAAUCGAAGAUAAAAUUUCUAUAGUUUCUAUCGCU